GGAGACGUAUCGAAGUGGCCGUAACGAGACUGAUUCGAAAUCAGUUGAACCUUUCUGGUUCCGUGGGUUCGAAUCCCACCGUCUCCG
rnacentral:tRNA from 1 species